UACGUAGGGUGCGAGCGUUGUCCGGAAUUAUUGGGCGUAAAGAGCUCGUAGGCGGUGUGUCACGUCGGCCGUGAAAACCUGCAGCUUAACUGUGGGCGUGCGGUCGAUACGGGCAUCACUGGAGUUCGGCAGGGGAGACUGGAAUUCCUGGUGUAGCGGUGAAAUGCGCAGAUAUCAAGAGGAACACCGGUGGCGAAGGCGGGUCUCUGGGCCGAUACUGACGCUGAGGAGCGAAAGCGUGGGGAGCGAACAGG
rnacentral:rRNA from 1 species